rnacentral:rRNA from 1 species
UACAGAGGUCCCGAGCGUUGUUCGGAUUUACUGGGCGUAAAGGGCGCGUAGGCGGCCACCGCAAGUCGACUGUGAAAUCUCCGGGCUUAACCCGGAAAGGUCAGCCGAUACUGCGGGGCUAGAGUGCAGAAGGGGCAACUGGAAUUCUCGGUGUAGCGGUGAAAUGCGUAGAUAUCGAGAGGAACACCUGCGGCGAAGGCGGGUUGCUGGACAGACAUUGACGCUGAGGUGCGAAAGCGUGGGGAGCAAACAGG